UACGUAGGGGGGCAAGCGUUGUCCGGAAUCAUUGGGCGUAAAGCGCGUGUAGGCGGCCCGGUAAGUCCGCUGUGAAAGUCCAGGGCUCAACCCCUGGAAUGCCGGUGGAUACUGUCGGGCUCGAGUCCGGAAGAGGCGAGUGGAAUUCCUGGUGUAGCGGUGAAAUGCGUAGAUAUCGAGAGGAACACCUGCGGCGAAGGCGGGUUGCUGGGCUGAUGACUGACGCUGAGGCGCGAAAGCCAGGGGAGCGAACGGG
rnacentral:rRNA from 1 species